AGUGACUGGUUUGUUUUUAUUCGCUCAAAUACACAUGGCUGAAAAGGAGCUUUUCUUUAAGCUUCCUUAUUUUAGUUUUGCUGACAUUGGAGACUGGUUUACUUGCAUGCGGAAUAGGUAAAUGCUGGAAACUGGAUAUCAGACAGUUUGUAUGUACAACGCAACGUAUAUGGACAUACAACACGAGUGCAAGUGAAUACAUUCGAUGUAAGAUGGACCAAGCGAAGAAUUUUACUCACACAUCUAUUUUCUUCAGACGGACGUACUUUUUUGAUGAGCAACAGUAAGCCGAUGGAGAGCCAGGAACCUCGAGGGAUUAUUUUCAAAGCAGCAGAAAGAUGUCAUGCACGUCCGCAACCAAGGAGGCAUGUUUAUUACCAAGGAGAAGGUGCUAUAUAUCCACAUGCGCUACCGGUGCGCCGUAAUGAAAGUCUCGCAAGAACAAUUCGGUUGGGAACCCUACUUCGACUUGCGGCUUUGGGAUGCGUGGGUAAAGCAAGGACCUCACCCUAAAUGCGUGCAACAGUUCGCGAAGCAUGCACCUAGAGGAAAGGUUAUAUAUGGGCCGCUGUGUGACAAUAUCCUUCAUAUUAAGUGAUAUGCACUAAAGUUGUUGUUGAGUCAUUAGGGUAACAAGGAUCAUCGGCGAAAAUAAAGUUCAGCAUAGUGAAAUUUGAAUCGGCUGUGAUAUAUA